rnacentral:rRNA from 1 species
AUACGGAGGAUCCGAGCGUUAUCCGGAUUUAUUGGGUUUAAAGGGAGCGUAGGUGGACAGUUAAGUCAGUUGUGAAAGUUUGCGGCUCAACCGUAAAAUUGCAGUUGAUACUGGCUGUCUUGAGUACAGUAGAGGUGGGCGGAAUUCGUGGUGUAGCGGUGAAAUGCUUAGAUAUCACGAAGAACUCCGAUUGCGAAGGCAUCACACUGGACUAGAACUGACAAUGAUGCUCGAAAGGGUUGAUAUCAAACAGUAUUAGAUACCCUGGUAGUCUACACAGUAACCGAUGAACACUAGCUGUUAGCGAUAUACAGUAAGCGGCCAAGCGAAAGCAAUAAGUAUUCAACCUGGGGAGUUCGCCGGCAACGGGGAGACUCAAAGGAAUUGACGGGG